rnacentral:rRNA from 1 species
GGCGGACGGGUGGAGUACACACGUGGAUAACCCUACCUAUAAGACUGGGAUAACUUCGGGAAACCGGAGCUAAUACCGGAUAAUAUUUCUGAACCGCAUGGUUCAAAAGUGAAAGACGGUCUUGCUGUCACUUAUAGAUGGAUCCGCGCUGCAUUAGCUAGUUGGUAAAGGUAACGGCAUACCAAGGCAACGAUGCAUAGCCGACCUGAGAGGGUGAUCGGCCACACUGGAACUGAGACACGGUCCAGACUCCUACGGGAGGCAGCAGUAGGGAAUCUUCCGCCAAUGGGCGAAAGCCUGACGGAGCAACGCCGCGUGAGUGAUGAAGGUCUUCGGAUCGUACAAACUCUGUUAUUAGGGAAGGACAUAUGUGUAAGUAACUGUGCACAUCUUGACGGUACCUAAUCAGAAAGCCACGGCUAACUACGUGCCAGCAGCCGCGGUAAUACGUAGGUGGCAAGCGUUAUCCGGAAUUAUUGGGCGUAAAGCGCGCGUAGGCGGUUUUUUAAGUCUGAUGUGAAAGCCCACGGCUCAACCGUGGAGGGUCAUUGGAAACUGGAAAACUUGAGUGCAGAAGAGGAAAGUGGAAUUCCAUGUGUAGCGGUGAAAUGCGCAGAGAUAUGGAGGAACACCAGUGGCGAAGGCGACUUUCUGGUCUGUAACUGACGCUGAUGUGCGAAAGCGUGGGGAUCAAACAGGAUCAGAUACCCUGGUAGUCCACGCCGUAAACGAUGAGUGCUAAGUGUUAGGGGGUUUCCGCCCCUUAGUGC